ensembl:misc_RNA Metazoa_SRP Metazoan signal recognition particle RNA
GCUGGGCGUGGUGGUGCACGCCUGUAAUCCCAGCUACCUGGGUAGCUGAGAUGGGAGAAUCACUUGAACCUGGGAGAUGGAGGUUGCAGUGAGCCGAGAUCACGCCACUGCACUCCAGCCUGGGUGACAGAGUGAGACUCUGUCUCAA